UUUCACUAGACAGAAGAGAUUAAGUGACGUGGAAACCCAUCUUAUUUUUUACUAUCGCGGAACAUGAAUGAAUUAGUGGCGCUGGAAAAGAAUGCAAGAUACCGAACCUGCUGUUGUAGUUAAUGACAGGGAACGUGGACAACACAUAGGGCUAAAUCGAAGCUUACAGACUGCAAGUAUUGAACCGGGUUUAUCAUCAGCCUAGUAGGCACGAGGGAAAGCUUGACCACCCAUGAGGAGAAAAGGAGGAGAAAGACUCAGAGGAGGGCAGCUGUGGGCAGAUGCACCCUAUGUUCCAGCGAGGAGAAGAACCUGCUGCAGUGUAAAAGACUUAAGAAGAAGCAGAGACAUCAGAGGGAAGCAGACACAGAUUUGCCAUGUGAGAAUUAUGGAGAAUGAAGGGGCUUUCCAUUAGACCUCCACCCCUAAAAGUGGCUGACC